rnacentral:rRNA from 1 species
UGGGGAAUUUUGGACAAUGGACGCAAGUCUGAUCCAGCCAUGCCGCGUGCGGGAAGAAGGCCUUCGGGUUGUAAACCGCUUUUGUCAGGGAAGAAAAGGGUGUUUCUAAUACAGACGCCUCAUGACGGUACCUGAAGAAUAAGCACCGGCUAACUACGUGCCAGCAGCCGCGGUAAUACGUAGGGUGCAAGCGUUAAUCGGAAUUACUGGGCGUAAAGCGUGCGCAGGCGGUUAUAUAAGACAGAUGUGAAAUCCCCGGGCUCAACCUGGGACCUGCAUUUGUGACUGUAUAGCUAGAGUACGGUAGAGGGGGAUGGAAUUCCGCGUGUAGCAGUGAAAUGCGUAGAUAUGCGGAGGAACACCGAUGGCGAAGGCAAUCCCCUGGACCUGUACUGACGCUCAUGCACGAAAGCGUGGGGAGCAAACA